AAUGUCAUACUUCAUAGGAUCAAUUCUAUAUGAUGUAUGCUGAGUUCCUUGACCGUAACUCAGAUAUGACACCAACCUCUAUGAUGAGGCUGAGUGUGAAUCUCUGAGCGGGAAGCUGCUCAAGAUUUGUUCUUGAGCAUUGAUGACCGUUCACUGUUGGUCCUCCAACAGUGAUGGAGGUUCACACAAGCUGAUAGGU